rnacentral:rRNA from 1 species
AUGCAGCUGUCCAAUGAAAAUCUCGCCAUCGCCACUCUGGUACCAAUGCCCCAAGGUGAAGUCGCCUUUGUCAAUGUCCGAGAGGUUCUCAGUGAUUUCUUGGUUUCGCAAAGGGUAGUGUUUUCGUCUAUCUCCAAAUGCCCUUUUGGUCAAGCAUUUGUCAGAUGCAACAGUAAAGCAGAUAGAGAUUCCUUGGUCAAUAGGAGCCCACAUCCUUUUGAUGAUAUUCACAUCGUUUUCCAAAAGCAUGAUCAGGGCCUGAACUGGAGGAAGUUCAAUCUGGCCAGAGAUUGUUGGCUGUUGUUGGUUGGUUUCCCAGCAGAUCUUCGUUGCAUGUCUGAGCUCAACAAUAUUGUCUCUAGUUUUGGAAAGUUGCUUUCUUGGGACCGAGUGAAAACCACUAAUACCGCUGUAGCAGUUAAAGUGAGAAUCGAUGCUCUUUCAGAUGUUUCAGUUAGUUUGGCAGUCACAGGGGGCAUGCACUUCGAAGGAGAAUCAGGGCUGAUGCUGCAGUUGGUGCUGCUGCUGAACUUCAGGGAGUAG